rnacentral:sRNA from 1 species
GAUGCCAGGGUCACAAGGUCAAACCCACAUGAGCUCGCUCAUAGGUGGGUGAAAGACCUUGGGAUCCGCCCCGAUAUGAGCAUAAAAGUGGGAUGAUAAUCCCACGAUAUGCGAAUAUUGGGUAGGAUUGUGGGAGUGCAAAGCACGGAGCAGUCCGUAGGCAUC